AUUGAACGCUGGCGGCAGGCCUAACACAUGCAAGUCGAGCGAGCGGCGGACGGGUGAGUAAUGUCUGGGAAACUGCCUGAUAGAGGGGGAUAACUACUGGAAACGGUAGCUAAUACCGCAUACCAUCCGAUGAGCCCAGAUGGGAUUAGCUAGUAGGUGGGGUAAAGGCUCACCUAGGCGACGAUCUCUAGCUGGUCUGAGAGGAUGACCAGCCAAACGGGGACUGAGACACGGCCCAGACUCCUACGGGAGGCAGCAGGGGGGAAUAUUGCACAAUGGGCGAAAGCCUGAUGCAGCCAUGCCGCGUGUAUGAAGAAGGCCUUAGGGUUGUAAAGUACUUUCAGCGGGGAGGCGUUACUCGCAGAAGAAGCACCGGCUAACUCCGUGCCAGCAGCCGCGGUAAUAC
rnacentral:rRNA from 1 species